rnacentral:rRNA from 1 species
GGAGUUGAAGAGAUGCUUGCAUCUCUGAUACUUAGCGGCGGACGGGUGAGUAACACGUGGGUAACCUGCCUUUAAGACUGGGAUAACAUUCGGAAACGAAUGCUAAUACCGGAUACGCGAUUUGGUCGCAUGAUCGAAUCGGGAAAGAUGGAGCAAUCUAUCACUUAGAGAUGGACCCGCGGCGCAUUAGCUAGUUGGUGAGGUAACGGCUCACCAAGGCGACGAUGCGUAGCCGACCUGAGAGGGUGAUCGGCCACACUGGGACUGAGACACGGCCCAGACUCCUACGGGAGGCAGCAGUAGGGAAUCUUCCGCAAUGGACGAAAGUCUGACGGAGCAACGCCGCGUGAGUGAUGAAGGUUUUCGGAUCGUAAAGCUCUGUUGCCAGGGAAGAACGCUUAGGAUAGUAACUGCUCCUAAGGUGACGGUACCUGAGAAGAAAGCCCCGGCUAACUACGUGCCAGCAGCCGCGGUAAUACGUAGGGGGCAAGCGUUGUCCGGAAUUAUUGGGCGUAAAGCGCGCGCAGGCGGCCUUGUAAGUCUGUUGUUUAAACUCGGGGCUC